GAUGAACGCUGGCGGCGUGCUUAACACAUGCAAGUCGAGCGGUAAGGCCCUUUCGGGGGUACACGAGCGGCGAACGGGUGAGUAACACGUGGGUGACCUGCCCUUAGCUCUGGGAUAAGCCUGGGAAACUGGGUCUAAUACCGGAUAUGACUCCAUGACGCAUGUUGUGGGGUGGAAAGCCUUGUGCGGCUAGGGAUGGGCCCGCGGCCUAUCAGCUUGUUGGUGGGGUGAUGGCCUACCAAGGCGACGACGGGUAGCCGGCCUGAGAGGGCGACCGGCCACACUGGGACUGAGACACGGCCCAGACUCCUACGGGAGGCAGCAGUGGGGAAUCUUGCGCAAUGGGCGAAAGCCUGACGCAGCGACGCCGCGUGAGGGAUGACGGCCU
rnacentral:rRNA from 1 species